rnacentral:pre_miRNA from 1 species
GAAGUACUCCCUCCGUCCGGAAAUACUUGUCAUCAAAAUGGAUAAAAGGGGAUGUAUCUAGACAUAUUUUAGUUCUAGAUACAUCUCUUUUUAUCCAUUUUGAUGACAAGUAUUUUCGGACGGAGAGAGUAAUAC